rnacentral:ncRNA from 1 species
GAAAAAGUUUUUUCUUAUGCAGGGUGAAGCCAGAGGAAACUCUGGUGGAGGUCCAUAGCGGUCCUGGUAUGCAAAUUGGUUGUCCAACCCAGGUCUAGGGGUGAAAAACUAAUCAAACCAUCUAGUAGCU